CCUCGGAUCCGUGGGUUUACUCACGGAUUUCUCCACCGAUUCCUCGCCGGAAGGGUCGCCGGAGCAUCCCGUCGGACUGAGAGGCACUGGAUUCGUAGAAUCUGUCGAGUAGGACAAGAAGUGAGCUCGAUCUGGAGUCAGACUGCUAGAUAGAUAGAAGUUAAUUGAUCUUUUGCUUAUGGACAUUUGAAUUUAUGUAAUUAUUCAGUACAUUUUAUUUGGUUUGGUUUAAAUACAUUGAUUAUGGAUUAUUUGGAAUUUUUGUUUAUCUUAGGCCUCGCAUGAUCUUUAGGGUACUGAUCUAGGGCUCAUGCGGCCGGUCACGUACCGGACCCGGAUGAUGGGUUCGGGGCGUGACACGAAUAAACAAGUUGCUACAUAUACGUACACAGUUUUUUAGUAGUAGACAUCUCAUUUUCCAUUC